rnacentral:lncRNA from 1 species
GGUGAUAUGUCAUUGAUUGCUCAGUUGGACAUUUAGUCGUUAACGAUUUAAACGUCGUUAGUCAAAAGGACAAAAUUGAAUAUAAAUUACAAUAUAAGGAACUACAUUGAACAUUAAAAAAAAAUGAGGACCCUUUCGAAUAAAGUUGACAAAAAUUGGGUCCGACAAUGGUAUUAAGCUUAAUAAUUAUAAUAAUAAAGUUAAUAUAAACAAAAUUCUAAUUUUUAUUAUAAUAAAGUAUUAUUAAUAUUUUUAUUGAGAAAACUUGAUUAUAUGCAAGAGAAAGUGUUUCGGAGACGACGACAUGGAGAGCCAAUAAUGUGAGAAGGCUACUGCAUUGAUGAAAUGUGGGGAGAAUGUGAAGUGAAAAGAAGAGAAGAACAACGUCAAUGAGAGGAAUGAAGAUGAAGAGAGAAAGAGAGUACAUGAAGAGAGGACACGUGAAAAUGAAGAGAACAUGAGGAGAAGAUGCUGAAAAUAAAGAAAAUGUGAAGAGGGGACGCAUGAAAAUGAAAAGAACAUGAAGAGAGGAAGAAUUAGGGAUUCAGAUUCUAUGAGAGGUGGUUUACUGCAUAUCAUAAUAUGUUUUGAACUUUAUUAGGAAAAUGUCAUCAUGUCUAACGUAUUAUGAUAGGUGAUAAACUAACAAUCAUAAUAAGGUCUACUAUGAUAGGUCUUCCUAGACUUGUACUAAUACGUUUUGAAUAUAAUUUCAAUUU